GACGAACGCUGGCGGCGUGCAUAACACAUGCAAGUCAAGGGGGCCCGCAAGGGCAACCGGCGAACGGGUGAGUAACGCGUAGGUAUCUGUCCAUGGGUGGGGGAUAACCGGGGGAAACUCCGGCUAAUACCGCAUGAAACCUGAGGGUCAAAGGCGCGAGUCGCCUGUGGAGGAGCCUGCGUCCGAUUAGCUAGUUGGUGGGGUAAAGCCUACCAAGGCGACGAUCGGUAGCUGGUCUGAGAGGAUGAUCAGCCACACUGGGACUGAGACACGGCCCAGACUCCUACGGGAGGCAGCAGUGGGGAAUAUUGGACAAUGGGCGCAAGCCUGAUCCAGCAAUGCCGCGUGGGUGAAGAAGGUCUUCGGAUU
rnacentral:rRNA from 1 species